GUCUACAGCCAUACCACCCUGAACGCGCCCAAUCUUGUCUGAACUCGGAAGCUAAGCAGGGUCGGGCCUGGUUAGUACUUGGAUAGGAAACUGCCUGGAAAUACCGGGUGCUGUAGGCU
ensembl:rRNA 5S_rRNA 5S ribosomal RNA